UACAGAGGGGGCAAGCGUUGUUCGGAAUUACUGGGCGUAAAGGGCGCGUAGGCGGCCUGCUAAGUCGAACGUGAAAUCCCCGAGCUCAACUCGGGAACUGCGUCCGAUACUGGCAGGCUUGAAUCCGGGAGAGGGAUGUGGAAUUCCAGGUGUAGCGGUGAAAUGCGUAGAUAUCUGGAGGAACACCGGUGGCGAAGGCGGCAUCCUGGACCGGUAUUGACGCUGAGGCGCGAAAGCCAGGGGAGCAAACGGGAUUAGAAACCCCCGUAGUCC
rnacentral:rRNA from 1 species